AUUGAACGCUGGCGGCAGGCCUAACACAUGCAAGUCGAACGAGUGGCGGACGGGUGAGUAAUGUCUGGGAAACUGCCUGAUGGAGGGGGAUAACUACUGGAAACGGUAGCUAAUACCGCAUACCAUCAGAUGUGCCCAGAUGGGAUUAGCUAGUAGGUGGGGUAAAGGCUCACCAAGGCGACGAUCCCUAGCUGGUCUGAGAGGAUGACAAGCAACACUGGAACGGAGACACGGUACAGACGCAUACGGGAGGCAGCAGUGGGGAAUAUUGCACAAGGGGCGAAAGCCUGAUGCAGCCAUGCCGCGUGUAUGAAGAAGGCCUUCGGGUUGUAAAGUAAUUUCAGCGGGGAGGCGUUACCCGCAGAAGAAGCACCGGCUAACUCCGUGCCAGCAGCCGCGGUAAUUC
rnacentral:rRNA from 1 species